GUUAGGAAUAUUGGACAAUGGGCGAAAGCCUGAUCCAGCCAUGCCGCGUGAACGAUGAAGGCCUUCGGGUUGUAAAGUUCUUUAGCCGAUGAUUAUAAUGACUGUAGUCGGAAAAUAAGCCCCGGCUAACUUCGUGCCAACAGCCGCGGUAAUACGAAGGGGGCGAGCGUUAUUCGGAAUCACUGGGCGUAAAGCGUGCGUAGGCGGUUUUGUAAGUUAGGAGUGAAAGCCCAGGGCUCAACCUUGGAAUUGCUCUUAAAACUGCAAGGCUCGAAUCUCGGAGAGGAUAGCGGAAUUUCCAGUGUAGCAGUGAAAUGCGUAGAUAUUGGAAGGAACACCAGUGGCGUAAGCGGCUAUCUGGACGAGUAUUGACGCUGAGGCACGAAAGCGUGGGGAUCAAACAGGAUUAGAAACCCGAGUAGUCC
rnacentral:rRNA from 1 species